GCAUCUUUGGGCAACCUGUGCCAGGGCCUUUCCACCCCCACAGGGAAGAAUUUCUUCCCAACGUCCAUUCUAAACUGACCUCCUUCAGUGUAAUACCAUUCCCCUUUGUCCUACAGCAACAGGCCCUGCUAAAAGCUUCAUCCCAUCUUUCUUUCUUACCCUUUCAAGUGCUUCCACAGCAUAGUCCAGAGCUGGCCUAAGCCUUGCCCACAUCCCAUUCUUCCUAAAGCAAAAAAAAAUCUUUCUCUUAGUGUUUACUGUUUUCCUCUGCAGCUAUAGGUCAGAUUUGGCAACUCUGAGGCUGGGAAAGCAUCUCUGUAUUGUCUUAUGAUUUCUCUCUAGUCUUGUGUUUUCCAGGCAGGAAAACUGGCUGCAGUCAAGAGGCUCAUGGACACCCAAGGAGCAGCAUCCCAAUAAAGGGCAGCCCAGCCCAGCACCAUUCUGUGUCCCAGGAAGAUGUUGCUGGGGCAAAUACAUGGAGAGAUGAAAAUCUGCACAGGGUGUAUCCUUGUGAGUGCGGCUACCUCACUGUGCUGUGAAAGAUGGUGUCCCUGUCCCUCUCCAGGCAGCACUGCUGGUCUCAGCACAACAUUGCACACCCAGAGUUCCUACAUGCAGCUGAUCACUGGACAGAGCAGAGAGUGGCAUAAAUGCUGAUAAAUUCCCAUCUAUCUGCCAUGGGAACUUAACAGAGAAAUAACAUGGAAGGCUCAGAUCUGUACUCCCUUCACAAAUGAAAAAGCAGGACUCACCUGGGCUACAGAAAGUUUGGAAGAAGGAGGCUGAAAUGAUGAGAAGAGCCAAUCCAGCUGCAGAGACUUUCAUCUUUCCGUCGGGUGAGGGCUGUCAGAGCAGGAGCAGAAGCUCUGGAUUAUGAAGCUCAGUGUGCAGCAGCUGGAUUCAGCCCCCUUUAAAAGGGAGUCCUGGAGGCAGCUGGAGAAGCCAAAAUGGAAAUUCCAAAAUGAUGAUAAAGGAUGACACGAAAGUGAAAUAGCUGAAGGGAAUUAGAAGGAACAGAAAAAUGUGAGGCAGAAUGGAAUACAGUUCACAAUGCCAGGUGACUCAGCACUCAUUUUUGUUUCAUUCAAAUCAAAAAGAAACUAGAAUGUGCCAAGUGGCCUGGCCACAAAAAGAAUGGUCCCUCUGGACUCCAGGGGAGGGUUUCUCUGUGAGGCUGUGUAGGGAAAGAAAAUGUUUGUGUAAGAUUAUGCAGUUCUGGAAAAAAACCCAACAGGCAGCACAGAAGUGCUCUCGUGCCACUGUGUGCUGGGUGUUUGCCAGACUGCUGAGCUGCUGCCCCAGAGCUCAGGGGAAGCUGUACCCAAAACACUCAGCCUGCCCUCCCCGCACCCACAGGGCUGGUGAGGAGCUGAGGCUGGAAUUCAUCCGGCCCAGUCCCUAGGGAGGCUGCCCCGGACCAUGUCCAGGUGGGCUGUGAGACUCCACAGCCUCUCUGGACAGCCUUUUUCAGAGUGCAAUGAAGUUUUAUUUGGUGUUUAAAUAGAAUUUCUCGUUGCCUCUUGUCCUGUUAGUGGCCACCACUGAGGAGAGUUGGGCAGCCUCUGCUUUGCUCCACAGACAUUGGUAAGAAUCCUCUUAGUAAGAAUUCUCCAUCCUGAACUCCUCCUGCAUCUCCUCCCUAGAGAAAUGCACUUGUCCCUCCAUCAUCUCUCUGGCCCUUUGCUGGACUCUCUCCAGUACGUCCAUACGUCUCUAAUCCUGGGGAGAGCGGAACUGGACCCAGCACCUGAGGACCCCGGUGCCCCACCUGAUGCUGAGUAGAGGGGAAGGGUCCCCUCCUUCAGCAUGCUGUCAAUGUUCCUUUCUUAUGCAGACCAGGAACCUGUUGGAAUUUUGGUGGCAAGGGACAUUGCUGCUCAUGUCCAGCGUGGUGCCCACCCCAGGUCCUUUUGCCAAACUGCUUUCCAGCUGGUCAGCACUGCCAUAUAGUGGUACCUGGGAAUGUUCCUUCCCAAGGGCAGGACUUUGCACUUCUUUUUGAGUUCCAUGAGGUUCUCCAGCCUGAUGAGGUUUCCAUGGAUUUCAGACAGGCCAAAAGUGAUAGGAUAUCAAGGAAGGUGGAGGAUUUUGCCAGAAGCAAGGUCUGGCAGGAUCAGCUCUUUGUUCCCCUGGUAAGUCUGAUCAGCUCAGCACAGAACAAGAAGUGGCUCCAGCUUGUGGCUGAAUUGCUGCCGAAAAAAACCCAAAUUGUGGCUUUUUGCCAUGGAAAUAAUUCAUUCAGAAACCAACAGUAGGAGUUUUAUGUUCCUCUGUUCUUGCAACUCACAUGCAAGUGUGACAAACGGCACAGAGCAGUGAACAGGCUCUGGCUGCAGAAUGACAGCCUGUGGCUGGCACCAGCAGGUGACAGCUUUGUUCAUGGGAACUUCGCACCUUCUGCUCACCCACUGCAAGGCACAAACCAUGAGGCUGAUUAUGUGCACGGGGACACAGGAGGAUGUGGGGAGGUGUGGUGGCUGUGAUGGGAACUGCAGCUCUCUUUCACCUGGAAGCUCUGAGAUGGUCAUUAUGAGGAAAGAAAGUAUAAUUGAAUGUGAGGAGGAGGAGGAGGUGCUGCAAGAGCUGCUGCAGCUGCAGCCCCUUGGCUGUGUCACCAGUGGGUGCCCACAGAGCUGCUUUGUCAGCUGUGCUGUUGUUUCCCCCAGAAUGUCAGGAAGCCUCCUGGAAAGGGGGAGCAGCUCCUCCCCAUCACAGACACCCCCCACCCACAAGGCUCCAGCUUUGAGUCACCGGCUGCCACCCUCGGAGUUCUGCCAUGAUGAUCCUGAACGAGUCGCCCCUGCCAACCUCUGCGCCCAGUUUCUGGUUUCUGGUUUCUGUUUCUGUCCACUGGAUUUUGCUUCUCUGGCAAAUCCCAGAGCCCUCUGCUAUUGCAGUUCCUGCAGUUUAAGUGUUUAUGAACUGACCUCUCUCAAGCUUCCUUUAUUAUUCCUGGAAAUAAGCCAUUUUUUUCCACUUUCACCUCACCCAGCUGGGGUAUGAGAUUUGUUUCGGUGUAAGCAAGGUAGAAAUAGAAAGCUAAAAUUAUUCAAAGGAGAGGAGUGUAGGGAAGGAUGUUAUGGGGCUGCUGAGCCUUCACCCCAGGGAUAUAAACAGUGACAAGGGUUACCCCAGAAGCUUUCAAACUCCUUCAAGUUCCCCUGAAAUCCUGCCCUUGCCUAGAGACACAAAUUACAAAGCCAAAAACCCAGGGCAGGGUAACUGAGGGAACUUUGCCUGUGGGUAAUGGUGAGGGCUGUCCCCGGGCUGGUGGGGGACUUUGUCAGCCUCCCCCUGGGGCACAGCUCACCUGUGGGGGCUACACUAUCCCAGCCCUGGCACUGAAGGACCUUGGAGCACAGGAAGGAAUAUUAUUCCAUCCCUAUUAUUUCCUGUAGCCUUUUCUCCUCUUUCUGUAGGUCCACAAGUGGAUGCAAGCUCUGAGGAGUGGGAUGAUUUGGGAGAUGCUGGUGGCUUCACCUGGGGCAGAGGUGAGGUGCUCUGGGGGCCACAACACUGUUCCUCAGGUUAUUCCUGACCAAGCCCAAGUCCCUUACUCCCACUUACAAACUGACCCCACCACGUUCCAACAUGUGGCUGCACAUCCCUGCAUGGACCCCAAGAGAUGCAGGAACCCUGGGACUAUGGAGGGAUGGGGAUGCUGUGGCUGUGGAGGAGAUGGGGGGAUGCAGGGGAGGUCUGAGGGGGCUGUGGAAGGAUGCAGGGCCAUGAAGGGAUGCAGGAGUGAGCAGUGCCAAAGCUCCCUGAGCCCUCCCCUCUGUCCCAGGGGAUGCGGGUGCCAGGCACAGCCUGUGCUAGCUGGAGCGGCCAGACAAUAUCCCCUUUGAUGGGCACAAACACAUCUGGGGUAGCAAAACCCUCCACAUUAUGGGGGACAGGACCUCCACUUCAGAGAAACGCUGCUGAGCAGCCCAACCUCCAAACAGCCCCACACAUGGGAAGUGGUUUUACAGCUUUGAAUAAAUUAUGAGGCCAGUAAACACCAGUGCAUGACCACAGCUGUUUACUGGCAGCUGCAGAGCUCACACCUCGCUGUGAGACUGGGGCUAACACCUCCCGUGGGGCUCCCACCUCCCCGCAGCGACACAGCCCUGCCAGGACCCUGCAGAGAGGGGCCAGCACUGGGCAAGAGAGCUCAGGGGCCAUCAGUCCCCAUCCCUGGAGGGGUUUAACAGAUGAGUGGAUACGGGACUUGGGGAUCUAGGUUAGUGGUGGCCCUGGUAAUGCUUGGAGGAUGGUUGGACUUAAUGACUUCAGAGGGCUUUUCCAGCAUAAAUGAUUCUAUGAUUACAGAAGUCCUCCCACUGUGGCAAUGGCCCUGACACAGGUUUAAAGGUUAUCCCUGCCUCAGGGGAAGUUGUGGUUCUAACCUGUGGGGUCAGACAGACAUCCCUGGGGCCACCUCCACCCAUCCCACCCAAAAAGGCCUAGAAAGCUGCACAGCAAGAGCACCAAUGAAAAUGAAAACUCUUUGUGUCUUGUUUUUUUUUAUUUUUCCUUGAUUAUAAUGGGCAGGCAAGGUCCACUGGAUUAAUUAAAAGUGUGUUUGGUA